UAAGGAAUAUUGGACAAUGGGGGAAACCCUGAUCCAGCAACGCCGCGUGGGCGAAGAAGGUCUUCGGAUCGUAAAGCCCUUUUCUGAGGGAAGAGAGAGGACGGUACCUCAGGAAUAAGUCUCGGCUAACUACGUGCCAGCAGCCGCGGUAAAACGUAGGAGGCGAGCGUUAUCCGGAUUUACUGGGCGUAAAGCGCGUGCAGGCGGUUGCGCAAGUUGGGCGUGAAAUCUCCUGGCUUAACUGGGAGGGGUCGUCCAAUACUGCGCGACUUGAGGGCAGGAGAGGGAAGCAGAAUUCCUGGUGUAGCGGUAAUAUGCGCAGAUAUCAGGAGGAAUACCAGUGGCGAAGGCGGCUUCCUGGUCUGUCACUGACGCUAAGACGCGAAAGCUAGGGGAGCGAACGGG
rnacentral:rRNA from 1 species